rnacentral:rRNA from 1 species
CCCUUAGAUGUCCUGGGCCGCACGCGCGUUACACUGAUGCAUUCAACGAGCUUAUAACCUUGGCCGAGAGGCCCGGGCAAUCUUGUUAACGUGCAUCGUGAUAGGGAUAGAUUAUUGAAAUUAUUAAUCUUGAACCAGGAAUUCCUAGUAGACGCGAGUCAUAAGCUCGCAUCGAUUAAGUCCCUGCCCUUUGUACACACCGCCCGUCGCUACUACCGAUUGAACGUUUUAGUGAGGCAUUUGGACCGACGCGUCUCAGUUUAACCGCUGGUUUGUGUUGGAAAGACUUCCAAACUUGAGCGUUUAGAGGAAGUAAAAGUCGUAACA